rnacentral:rRNA from 1 species
CAGUCGCCACGGUAAUACGGAGGGGGCUAGCGUUGUUCGGAAUUACUGGGCGUAAAGCGCACGUAGGCGGCUUGGUAAGUUAGAGGUGAAAGCCCAGGGCUCAACCCUGGAAUUGCCUUUAAGACUGCCGAGCUAGUAGGUGAGAGAGGUAAGUGGAAUUCCGAGUGUAGAGGUGAAAUUCGUAGAUAUUCGGAAGAACACCAGUGGCGAGGGCGGCUUACUGGCUCAUUCUAGACGCUGAGGUGCGAAAGCGUGGGGAGCAAACAGGAUUAGAGACCCGAGUAGUCCCUGUCUCUUAUAC